rnacentral:rRNA from 1 species
CCUCGGGCGGCAGCAGUGGGGAAUAUUGGACAAUGGGCGAAAGCCUGAUCCAGCCAUGCCGCGUGUGUGAAGAAGGCCUUCGGGUUGUAAAGCACUUUCAGUGGGGAAGAAAGCCUUGGGGCUAAUACCCUCGAGGAAGGACAUCACCCACAGAAGAAGCACCGGCUAACUCCGUGCCAGCAGCCGCGGUAAUACGGAGGGUGCGAGCGUUAAUCGGAAUUACUGGGCGUAAAGCGCGCGUAGGCGGUCUGAUAAGCCGGUUGUGAAAGCCCCGGGCUCAACCUGGGAACGGCAUCCGGAACUGUCAGGCUAGAGUGCAGGAGAGGAAGGUAGAAUUCCCGGUGUAGCGGUGAAAUGCGUAGAGAUCGGGAGGAAUACCAGUGGCGAAGGCGGCCUUCUGGACUGACACUGACGCUGAGGUGCGAAAGCGUGGGUAGCAAACAGGAUUAGAUACCCGGGUAGUC